UACGUAGGGGGGCAAGCGUUUGUCCGGGAUUUAUUGGGCGUAAAGAGCGUGUAGGCGGCUUACAGGUCCGUUGUGAAAACUCGAGGCUCAACCUCGAGACGCCGGUGGAAACCGUAAGGCUAGAGUCCGGAAGAGGAGAGUGGAAUUCCUGGUGUAGCGGUGAAAAUGCGCAGAUAUCAGGAGGAACACCAAUGGCGAAGGCAGCACUCUGGGACGUGACUGACGCUGAGACGCGAAAGCGUGGGGAGCAAACAGG
rnacentral:rRNA from 1 species